GGGGAGAGGAGGGAGGUGGGAAUGAAAAGGGGGCUAGUCACUCAGCGCUGCCUCACGUACGUGGAUGUGAGCCACUCGGAUGGGCGCAUGCAUGCUGAGAGUCCACUGCACCAGCAAUCCUGUGCUCCUGCUUGGGGUUCUUGUGAAUAAGUGAAGCUGCAGGUUUUCCUAGGGGUAGCUCUGUCCUGAGGAACACACAUUCUCCUGUCUCGGCCCUACUGAGAAAAAAAGAGUGCCUAUGAAUACAAUCACCUACGAAUGCCAGCCAGACCACACCUCCCUGGACUGCUGAGAUUUAUUAGAAGGACAGCUCCCUGCGGUGCCAGCAAAUCUUGAAUCUCUGGCGAAUAGACAAUGUGCAGGCUGAGGAAUAGCACCAUCAUGAAUUCACACAUUCACAUAGGCUCCACACCCAGCUUAGAGCCCAACGUGGAGUCCAAACUCAUGACCCUGAGAUCAAGACCCGAGCUGAGAUCAAGAGUUGGAUGUUGGAUGUUCAACCAGCUGAGCCACUCAGGCACCCCUCCUCCAUGUCCUUUUAUGAUGCAUAAUACUCCAUUGUCUGGAUGUACCACAGUUUACUUAUCCAUUUGCCUACUGAAAGACAUCUUGGUUGCUUCCAAGUUUUGGCAAUUAUGAAUAAAGCCUCUAUAAACAUCAUGUGCAGAUUUUUGUGUGGACCUAGGUUUUCAACUCAUUUGGGUAAAUACCAAGGAGUGUGAUUGCUGGGUCAUAUGUAAGAGUAUGUUUAAUUUUUUUAAGAAACUGCCAGACUUUCUUCCAAAGUGGCCGGACCAUUUUGCAUUCCCACCAGCAAUGAAUGAGAGUUCCUGUUGCUCCACAGUCACCACAUUUGGUAUUGUCAGUGACUUGGUUUUGGACCAUUCUCAUAGGUAUGGAGUGGUCUAUUUGUGGACACUUUUUUUCUCUUUCAGAUAAAUACCUAGAAUUAAAAUGCUUGAUCAUAUGGCGGAUGUAUUUUAAAAAUUUUAAGAGACUGCCAAAAUGUUUUCCAAAAUUGUUUUAUCAUUUCUAUCCCCACCAGAAGUGUAUGAGAGUUCCAGUCACUCCACACUCUUGCUAACAUUUGUUAUGGCCAGCCUUUCUAACUUCAGCUUUUCUAAUAGGCAUGGAGUAGUACUUCACUGUGGUUUUAAAAUGCAUUUUCCUAGUGCUCAUGAGGUCAAGCAUCUUGCCAUGUUACUUGCCAUCCAUAUAUUACAUUUAGUGAAGUAUCUGUUCAAAUUUGGUGAAAUGCUGCCCUGCUGGGAUUUUGAAUGGAAUUGUGUUGAAUCUAUACAUCAACUUGG